ACGAACGCUUGGGCGGCGUGGCCUUAAUGCAUGCAAAGUCGCACGCACGGCACUUCGGUGCCGUGAGUGGCGCACGGCUGAGGAACACGUGGGAACCUGCCGCCUUGUGGGGGACAACAGCGCGAAAGCGCUGCUAAUCCCGCAUACGCUCGCAGAGGAAAAGGCAGUAAUGCGCAGGGCGAGGGGCCCUGCCGGCCCAUCAGGUCGUAGGUGGGGUAAUGGGCCUACCUAGCCGAUGACGGGUUAGCUGGUCUGUGAGGACAGACAGCCAGACUGGGACUGAGACACGGCCCAGAACUCCUACGGGAGGCAGCAGCAAGGAAUUUUCGUCAAUGGGGGCAACCCCUGAACGAGCAACAGCCGCGUGCCAGGAUGGAUGAACGGCCUUCGGGUUGUAAACUGCUCCUUGGGAGGGACGAUAGUGACGGUACCUCCUGAAUAAGGCCUCGGCUAAACUCUGUGGCCAGCCAGCCGCGGGUAAUACAGAGGAGCCAAGCGUUGUCGGCUGGAUUGACUGGGGCGUUAAAGCGCACGCAGGCGGGUCGCGCCGCCGUGGGGGUGUGAAAUCUGGCCGCUUAACGGCCCAGGCGCCAUCCCAUACGGCGCGGAACUGGAGGCUUGCAGAGGUCGGUGGGAUUGCCGGUGUAGUGGUUGAAAUGCGUAGAGAUCGGCAGGAACACCCAGGGGGAAACCAGCCGACUGGGCAAGUGGGCUGACGCUGAGGUGCGAGAGCGUGGGGAGCGAACCGGAUUAGAUACCCGGGUAGUCCACGGGCGUCCCGUAAACGAUGGCCACUCGGGCCCUCUGGGGGACGGAUACUCCGUUCGUGGGGGGCCUUAGCAAACGCGCGGGAAGUGGGCCCGCCUGGGAACUACGAAGCGCAAAGCUUAAAACUCAAAAGGAAUUGAACGGGGGCCCCGCACCAAGCAGCGGAGCGUGUGGUUUUUAAUUCGAACGCAACGCGCAGAACCUUACCCAGGUUUUGACAUGCAGCUGCAAGCUUCAUGAAAGUGGGCUGCCUUCGAGGGUUGCUGCACAGAUGCUUGCAUGGCUUGUCCGUCAGCUCGUGGUCGUGAGAUGUUGGGGUUAAGUCCCGCAAACGAGCGCAACCCCCUACGGUCCAGUUAUACGCUGUCUGGCCGGACUGCCCCCUUGGGGAGGAAGGCGGGGGAUGACGUCAAGUCCGCAUGGCUCUUACGCCUGGGGCGACACACACGCUACAAUGCCGGUCGCAACGCGCAGCGACCCCCGCAAGGGGGAGGCGAAUCGCUAAGGAUCGGCCUCAGUGCAGAUUGGGGGCUGCAACUCGCCCCCAUGAAGGCGGAGUUACUAGUAACCGCGUAUCAAGCCAUGGGCGCGGUGAAUACGUACCCGGGCCUGUACACACCGCCCGUCACGUCAUGGGAGUUUGGUCAAGGCGUGAAGUCCGUGGGCCUGACCCGUGGCAAGGGCGGGAGGCAGCGGCCGAGCGGCCGGGGCAGCGACUGGGGACG
rnacentral:rRNA from 1 species